rnacentral:rRNA from 1 species
AGUGAACGCUGGCGGUAGGCCUAACACAUGCAAGUCGAACGGCAGCACAGUAAGAGCUUGCUCUUACGGGUGGCGAGUGGCGGACGGGUGAGGAAUACAUCGGAAUCUACUUUUUCGUAGGGGAUAACGUAGGGAAACUUACGCUAAUACCGCAUACGACCUACGGGUGAAAGCAGGGGAUCUUCGGACCUUGCGCGAUUGAAUGAGCCGAUGUCGGAUUAGCUAGUUGGCGGGGUAAAGGCCCACCAAGGCGACGAUCCGUAGCUGGUCUGAGAGGAUGAUCAGCCACACUGGAACUGAGACACGGUCCAGACUCCUACGGGAGGCAGCAGUGGGGAAUAUUGGACAAUGGGCGCAAGCCUGAUCCAGACAUACCGCGUGGGUGAAGAAGGCCUUCGGGUUGUAAAGCCCUUUUGUUGGGAAAGAAAAGCAGCAGGUUAAUACCCCGCUGUUCUGACGGUACCCAAAGAAUAAGCACCGGCUAACUUCGUG